AUGGCUUCUAGGGCUUUUUGGCUGAGAUCGAAUAUACUAUCUGUCCUUAUCAGUUUAAUCUCUGAUGCAUUCAUUCUCUUGUAGCAGGAAGUGCCCCCCCCCUCCCGUUGCCCAGGUACCCUCC
ensembl:snRNA U2 U2 spliceosomal RNA